GUAAAGAUUUGAGGGAAAUCCAUCAAAGAUUUUAAAGUUAUUUGAAUUUCAAUAUUUUUUUUUUAUUUCGUCUAUGCAAGCAGCUCCAAGAAUCAUGAAUUUAAAAAAUCAAUGAAAUUUCAUUUUCUAAAAAAUUGAAAAUGUUUUUCAUUGUACAGGUCUUUAGUAUAUCAACAGACAAACUAUUUUACACCAGCUCUCAACAUAACAAAGUCAUCAUGAACCAUUAAACAUUUACAUAUGGGGCAGCUGCUUGACCUCACAAAUCAAAAACUUAAAAUUCUCACAACUUUCGUAAUCUUUAUUGGAUUUUCCUCAAAAGUUCAUGUUUCAGAUUCAUCAUUAAGUUAAAUAUUUUUCUGUUCAAUUAUCACAAACAUUACGUGAUAUACAUGUCAGCCCCCCCCCCCCCCCCCGCAAAAAAAAACAGCCUAAUUUUGCAGCAUUUGAUAAGUUUUAACAUUGCAACGAAUGGAGAUUUUCGAGAGCCUUUUAUAGUUUCAAAGUUUCUUUUGAUCAUAUUUUGGGGGCUGUAUUGCCCUGAGCCUCUGUGUAUUUUUCCUAUGACACAUGAAAGGCAACUAGUCAAUACAGAGAAAAUAAGUUGAUUGAAAAACAAGGCCCCUCAUUAUGUUGGUGGCAAAUAUAUUUAUAAAAAAAAAAUUGUUUGAAUACAGGCAUAGUGUAAAAUUGUCAUAAUGCCAUCCACAAGCUGAGUUUUAUACACCGCACCUUUAGAUUGAUCACAUAAACCUAAGGUGUAGUGUAGAAUUAUCAUAAUGCCAUCCACAAGCUGAGUUUUAUACACUGCACCUUUAGAUUGAUCACAUAAACCUAAGGUGUAGUGUAAAAUUGUCUUAAUGCUGAGUUUUAUACACCACACCUUUAGAUUGAUCACAUAAACCCAAGGUGUAGUGUAAAGGUGUUUAAUGCCAUCCACAAGCUGAGUUUUAUACACCGCACCUUUACAUUGAUCGCACAAACCCAAGGUGUAGUGUAAAGGUGAUAAAUGCCAUCCACAAGCUAGGUUUACACUAGGAAGUUUACACAACACCUUUAGAUUGAUCCCAGAAACCUGUUACAUAAUGAACAUAUUAUCUGUCUGAAACCCGGUUGUCCUAUUACAGUGACAAUUGAUUCGCUAACACUUGUAGCCUCCUCUUAUAGUUUUCCCAUUUAUACCAUGCCUCAAAUGUCAUUACUUUACAAAAAAAGCCACAUUACUAGAGGGCACAUAUUACAGAACAAAUAAAAAAAUUAUGAAGGGCAGAAUUAAUCUCCAAGGCCAAAGGUCAAUCAGGCAAGGGAAUCCUUGACCAUGACUUUAGAAUAAAUUAUGAGAAGAAAAACCAGAUUUGUCCACUCAAAUGACAUAAGGCAAGAUAAUGUACUACCAUACUAUCUACAAGAAAUCAUUUGAUUAAUUGCUUGGUACUGCAGAAUUG